CUUGCUCUGUGGAUCAGUGGCGAACGGGUGAGUAACACGUGAGCAAUCUGCCCCUGACUCUGGGAUAAGCGCUGGAAACGGCGUCUAAUACCGGAUACGAGCUGCGACCGCAUGGUCAGUAGCUGGAAAGAAUUUCGGUCAGGGAUGAGCUCGCGGCCUAUCAGCUUGUUGGUGAGGUAAUGGCUCACCAAGGCGUCGACGGGUAGCCGGCCUGAGAGGGUGACCGGCCACACUGGGACUGAGACACGGCCCAGACUCCUACGGGAGGCAGCAGUGGGGAAUAUUGCACAAUGGGCGAAAGCCUGAUGCAGCAACGCCGCGUGAGGGAUGACGGCCUUCGGGUUGUAAACCUCUUUUAGCAGGGAAGAAGCGAAAGUGACGGUACCUGCAGAAAAAGCGCCGGCUAACUACGUGCCAGCAGCCGCGGUAAUACGUAGGGCGCAAGCGUUAUCCGGAAUUAUUGGGCGUAAAGAGCUCGUAGGCGGUCUGUCGCGUCUGCUGUG
rnacentral:rRNA from 1 species